AUACGGAGGAUCCGAGCGUUAUCCGGAUUCAUUGGGUUUAAAGGGUGCGCAGGCGGGAGAUUAAGUCGGCGGUGAAAUUUUGCAGCUCAACUGUAAAAGUGCCUUCGAAACUGGUUUCCUUGAGUGGAGAUGAAGUAGGCGGAAUUUGUGGUGUAGCGGUGAAAUGCAUAGAUAUCACGAGGAACUCCGAUUGCGCAGGCAGCUUACUAAACUACUACUGACGCUCAGGCACGAAGGCGUGGGGAUCAAACAGGAUUAGAUACCCUGGUAGUCCACGCAGUAAACGAUGAUUACUAGCUGUUUGCGAUACAAUGUAAGCGGCUGAGCGAAAGCGUUAAGUAAUCCACCUGGGGAGUACGUUCGCAAGAAUGAAACUCAAAUGAAUUGACGGGG
rnacentral:rRNA from 1 species